rnacentral:rRNA from 1 species
CAGAGGUCCCGAGCGUUGUUCGGAUUCACUGGGCGUAAAGGGUGCGUAGGUGGUGAGGUAAGUCGGAUGUGAAAUCUCCGGGCUCAACCCGGAAAUGGCAUUGGAAACUGCCUUGCUAGAGGAUUUGAGGGGGGAUUGGAAUACUUGGUGUAGCAGUGAAAUGCGUAGAUAUCAAGUGGAACACCAGUGGCGAAGGCGAAUCCCUGGAAAAUACCUGACACUGAGGCACGAAAGCUAGGGGAGCAAACAGGAUUAGAUACCCUGGUAGUCCUAGCCCUAAACGGUGCUUGCUUGCUGUAAGUGGAAUCGACCCCACUUGUGGCGGAGCUAACGCGUUAAGCAAGCCGCCUGGGAAGUACGGUCGCAAGAUUA